UCCUCUUUACCCUUUUUGAAGACUGGAGUGAUAUUGGCUUUCCUCCAGUCCUCGGGCUCCUUGUUCUCCAGGACCUUUCAAACAUGAUGGAGAGCGGCCCAGCAAUGACUUCUGCCAGCUCCCUCGGCACUCUCGCGUCCAUCCCGUCAGGACCCAUGGACUUGCAGAUAUCCAGUUUACUUAACUGUUCUCUAGCUUGAUCCUCCUCCACCAAGGGGAAGUCUUCCUUCGUCCAGACUUUCUCUGUUACCACCAAAGUCUGGGACUCCCAAGGGCUGGCCUGAGCAGUAAAGAAUGAAGCAAAGGAAGCAUUCGGUAACUCCGCCUUCUCUGCAUCCUCUGUCACCAGGGCACCCGUCUCGUUCAACAGCAGGCCCACAUUUUCUCUAGUUUGCCUUUUGCCUCCAAUAUACUUGAAGAAACCCUUCUUGUUAACUUUGACAUCCCUUGCCAGGUUUAAUUCCAAGGAGGCCUUGGCUUUCCUCGUUCCAUCCCUGCAUACUCUAAUCACAUUCUUGUCAUCUUCCCCAGUGGUCAGUCCCUUCUUCCGCACACUGGAAACUGCCUUCUUCCACUUGAGCUUUUUCAGAAGCUCCCUGCUCAACCACACAGGUCUCCUGCUUCCCUUGCUUGAUUUCUUGCUCUUAGGGAUGCGCAGAUCCUGAACUUGGAGAAGUGGUAUUUGAACAACAACCAGCUCUCUUGAGCUCCCCUACCUUCCAGAGCCCUAUCCCAUGGGAUUUCUCCAAGCAGUUGCUUGAAGAAGUUGAAGUUAGCCCUCCUGAAGUCCAAGGUUUCAAUCCUAUUUGUUGUUUGUGCGUACUACCCGUGAUCCUGAACUCUACCUUUUCAUGAUCACUGCAGCCACGGCUGCCCCCAACCUUAAUGUCCUCCACCAGUCCCUCUUUGUUUGUCAGAACUAGGUCCAGUAGCAGAUCUCUCCUUGUUGGCUCCUUCACCACCUGAGUCAGGACGUUAUCAUCAAUAUACUGGAGGAACCUCCUGUGACUGUGUAGCCUUCCCAGCAGAUACUCUCCCCCAUGAGAACCAAGGCCUGUGAUUGCGAGGCUACUUGCAGCUUUCUGCUGAAGGCCUCAACAGCUUCCCCAUCCUAAUCAGGUGGCCUGUGAUAAACACCCACAUCAGCCUGCCCCUUAAUCCUCACCCACAAGCUCUUGACUCUCUCCUCAUCUGCCCCCAGGGAGAGCUUGACAGGUUCCAGUCGCUCUCUUGCAUGAAGAACAGCUCCACCACCUCACUCUUGCCAACUUCCCUUCCCCGCUUUGCUCUGCUGGGCUUUGUAGAUGCUGCAGGUACGUCAGGACUGGUGCAGAGGAAACCUCCUGAUACUGAGACAGCUUUUGUGUGAACGUGUUGAUUUAUUGCAUCUGCUGUGGGGGGAAGGAAAAAAAAACACCAAAUCAACAACUCUCUCCAGGCUGCUUUAAUUUAAAGUGUGAUGUCGCAGGUGUCUUGGCACCCAUGCAUCGCUCCGCGUGUCGUGUGUGAAGUUUCCAUAGUUGUGUUUACAAGAUGAGAGGUGUUUGUGGUUGUUGCCCUUGUAAUAGCAGCCGGAAAGCGCAGCAGACGAAUGAGAAACCCGUCCCUGGAGGGAAGGGGGAGGAAGAGCAGAGUCACACAAACCUGGACUUUAAAACGGAGUCAGCUCUCUUCUCUCUUUGCCUCUUUUUUGAGGGCUCUCCUAGUGGUACCACCAGGGAUUGGGCGUUUGGUUGGAAACUGCCUCCCCAUCCCCCUGCUCCUCUCUGGAGGGACAGCCCUUCAUUAUGGGGCUGGGAAAAGCAGUGUGUGAGGUACAACACACUCCUCUUUGCGACGUAAUGUCUGUAACGUGUCUGAGACCAGCAAUAACCCGUCCCCUCGGGGACACACCAGCUCCAAGCAUCCCUUGGCCGCUUACACCCAGCUUCAGCGACUGGGGAGGUUUUUAAACUCUUUUAUAAAAAAGACAGAAAUACCAGUAGCCUUCGUUUUUGCUUACUUAAGGGAUUUAAAUCUUUCUCCUGAAUUUUGAAUGUACAGUGUGAAAUACACUUUUCUGGAGAAGGGUGAGUGACACAUGCCAAGGAAUGUUCCACUAAAGAUUGUCAGAACACCCAAAGACCCUGCGGGGUUCAGCUUUACUGCAGCGCGUCCAAACUGGAGGGGAAACGACUUUGACCUGAUUGUUCUAUUUUUUAAAGGAAUUAGAUCUGUGUUCCCUUUGUAAAUGGAAGAGAAUAUAAAUCUUUUUAUUAAAAAAAAAACAAAACAAAGGAAUGUAAAGUAAAAAUGUAUAUCUGUUAUUUUUGGAUCAUGUUAUAGAUAAUGGAUAUAUUGUUAUAAAUAAAGUAUUUUUGGGAACAAAGA